AGGGUUUGAUCCUGGCUCAGGACGAACGCUGGCGGCGCGCCUUACGCAUGCAAGUCGAACGCCCCGAUUUAUCGGGGAGUGGCAGACGGCUGAGUAACGCGUUGGUAACCUGUCCCACAGUGGGGGAUAACCCGCCGAAAGGCGGACUAAUACCGCAUUCGCUCCCGGGGUGAAACUCCACGGGAGGAAAGCCGUAAGGCGCUGAGGGAGGGGCCUGCGUCCUAUCAGGUAGUUGGUGAGGUAACGGCUCACCAAGCCUACGACGGGUAGCUGGUCUGAGAGGACGACCAGCCAGACGGGGACUGAGACACGGCCCCGACUCCUACGGGAGGCAGCAGCGAGGAAUCUUGGGCAAUGGGCGAAAGCCUGACCCAGCGACGCCGCGUGGGGGAAGAAGGCCUUCGGGUCGUAAACCCCUUUUGCCGGGGAAGAAGCUCUGACGGUACCCGGCGAAUAAGCCACGGCUAACUACGUGCCAGCAGCCGCGGUAAUACGUAGGUGGCAAGCGUUGUCCGGAUUUACUGGGCGUAAAGGGCGUGUAGGCGGUCCGUCAAGUCCGGUGUGAAAUCUCCCGGCCUAACUGGGAGGGGUCAUCGGAUACUGACGGACUAGAGGGGGGCAGAGGAAGGUGGAAUUCCCGGUGUAGCGGUGAUAUGCGUAGAUAUCGGGAGGAACACCAGUGGCGAAGGCGGCUCUCUGGGCUCUCCCUGACGCUGAGGCGCGAAAGCGUGGGGAGCAAACCGGAUUAGAUACCCGGGUAGUCCACGCUGUAAACGUUGGGCACUAGGUGUGGGAGGUAUUGACCCCUUCCGUGCCGCAGCUAACGCGAUAAGUGCCCCGCCUGGGGAGUACGGCCGCAAGGCUAAAACUCAAAGGAAUUGACGGGGGCCCG
rnacentral:rRNA from 1 species